GACGAACGCUGGCGGCGUGCCUAAUACAUGCAAGUUGAGCGCUGAAGGUUGGUACUUGUACCCACUGGAUGAGCAGCGAACGGGUGAGUAACGCGUGGGGAAUCUGCCUUUGAGCGGGGGACAACAUUUGGAAACGAAUGCUAAUACCGCAUAAAAACUUUAAACACAAGUUUUAAGUUUGAAAGAUGCAAUUGCAUCACUCAAAGAUGAUCCCGCGUUGUAUUAGCUAGUUGGUGCGGUAAAGGCUCACCAAGGCGAUGAUACAUAGCCGACCUGAGAGGGUGAUCGGCCACAUUGGGACUGAGACACGGCCCAAACUCCUACGGGAGGCAGCAGUAGGGAAUCUUCGGCAAUGGACGAAAGUCUGACCGAGCAACGCCGCGUGAGUGAAGAAGGUUUUCGGAUCGUAAAACUCUGUUGGUAGAGAAGAACGUUGGUGAGAGUGGAAAGCUCAUCAAGUGACGGUAACUACCCAGAAAGGGACGGCUAACUACGUG
rnacentral:rRNA from 1 species